rnacentral:rRNA from 1 species
GACGAACGCUGGCGGCGUGCUUAACACAUGCAAGUCGAACGAAGAGCGAUGGAAGCUUGCUUCUAUCAAUCUUAGUGGCGAACGGGUGAGUAACGCGUAAUCAACCUGCCCUUCAGAGGGGGACAACAGUUGGAAACGACUGCUAAUACCGCAUACGAUCUAAUCUCGGCAUCGAGGAUAGAUGAAAGGUGGCCUCUACAUGUAAGCUAUCACUGAAGGAGGGGAUUGCGUCUGAUUAGCUAGUUGGAGGGGUAACGGCCCACCAAGGCGAUGAUCAGUAGCCGGUCUGAGAGGAUGAACGGCCACAUUGGGACUGAGACACGGCCCAGUCUCCUACGGGAGGCAGCAGUGGGGAAUCUUCCGCAAUGGACGAAAGUCUGACGGAGCAACGCCGCGUGAGUGAUGACGGCCUUCGGGUUGUAAAGCUCUGUUAAUCGGGACGAAAGGCCUUCUUGCGAAUAGUGAGAAGGAUUGACGGUACCGGAAUAGAAAGCCACGGCUAACUACGUG